UACGUAGGGUGCGAGCGUUGUCCGGAAUCACUGGGCGUAAAGCGCACGUAGGCGGAUCUUUAAGUCAGGGGUGAAAUCCUGGAGCUCAACUCCAGAACUGCCUUUGAUACUGAGGAUCUCGAGUCCGGGAGAGGUGAGUGGAACUGCGAGUGUAGAGGUGAAAUUCGUAGAUAUUCGCAAGAACACCAGUGGCGAAGGCGGCUCACUGGCCCGGUACUGACGCUGAGGUGCGAAAGCG
rnacentral:rRNA from 1 species